rnacentral:rRNA from 1 species
AUUGAACGCUGGCGGCAUGCUUUACACAUGCAAGUCGAACGGUAACAGGCCUUCGGGCGCUGACGAGUGGCGAACGGGUGAGUAAUGCAUCGGAACGUGCCCAGUCGUGGGGGAUAACGCAGCGAAAGCUGUGCUAAUACCGCAUACGAUCUGCGGAUGAAAGCGGGGGACCUUCGGGCCUCGCGCGAUUGGAGCGGCCGAUGUCCGAUUAGGUAGUUGGUGGGGUAAAGGCUCACCAAGCCAACGAUCUGUAGCUGGUCUGAGAGGACGACCAGCCACACUGGGACUGAGACACGGCCCAGACUCCUACGGGAGGCAGCAGUGGGGAAUUUUGGACAAUGGGCGCAAGCCUGAUCCAGCAAUGCCGCGUGCAGGAUGAAGGCCUUCGGGUUGUAAACUGCUUUUGUACGGAACGAAAAGGCGCCUACUAAUACUGGGUGUUGAUGACGGUACCGUAAGAAUAAGCACCGGCUAACUACGUGCCAGCCGCCGCGGUAAAAC